rnacentral:lncRNA from 1 species
UGAAGCAGCAGCCUGAACUUAAUUUCCUAUGCAGGGGUUUAAUGAUUUUCUUCUCAAUAAAAAUGAGAAGGCCGGGCGUGGUGGCUCACGCCUGUAAUCCCAGCACUUUGGGAGGCCGAGGCUGGCGGAUCACGAGGUCAGGAGAUCGAGACCAUCCUGGCUAACACGGUGAAACCCCGUCUCUACUAACAAUACAAAAAUUAGCCGGGCAUGGUGGCGCGCGCCUGUAGUCCCAGCUGUUGUGCCACUGCACUCCAACCUGGGUGACAGAGCAAGACCCUGUCUCAAAAAAUAAAUAAAUAAACUGGAGUCAAUACCCUCAAACCCUGCGGCUGCUUUAUCAACUAAAUUUAUGGAAUAGUCUCAAUCUUUUGUCAUUUCAACAAUGUUCACAGCAUUUUCACCAGGAGUAGAUUCCAUCUCAAGAAUCACUUCUUUGCUCAUCUGUAAGACUCAACUCCCCAUCUGUUCAAGUUUGAUCAUGAGAUUGUAGCAACUGAGUGACAUCUUCAGGCUCCACCUCUAAUUCCAGUUCCCUUGCCAUUUCUACCACACCUGCAGUUGCUUCCUCCCCUUAAAGUCAUCCAUGAGCAUUGAAAUCAACUUUUUCAAACGCCUGUUGUUGAUAUGGUGACCUCCCAUGAAUCACAGAUGUUCUUAAUGCCAUCUAGAAUGAUAAAUCCUUUCCAGAAGACUUUUGAUUUUCUUUGCCCAGAUCCAUCAAAGAAAUCACUUUUCAUGGCAGCUAUGGCCUUAUGAAAUGUAUUUCUUAAAUAAGUCAAAAGUGCUCCCGGAUCCAUGGGCUGCAGAAUUGGUGUUGUGUUAGCAGGCACAAAAACAUUUAUCUCCUUAUACCUCUCCAUCAGAGCUCUUGAGUGACCAGGUGCACUGUCAGGAAUAGUAUUUUGAAGAUAAUCUUUUUUUCUGAGCAGUAGGUCUCAACAGUGGGCUUAUAUUCAGUAAACCAUGCUGUACACAGAUGUGCUGUCAUCCAGGUUGUUUUUCCAUCUCUAGAGCUCAGAGUAGAUUUAGCAUAAUUUUUAAGGGCCCUAAGAUUUUCUGAAUGAUAAAUGAGAACUGGCUUCAACUCAGUCAACUUAAAGUGACCGACAUUAGCCCCUAACAAGAGUCGCCCUGUCCUUUGAAGCCAGUCAUUGACUUCUCUCUAGCUGUUUACGUUGUAUAUGGCAUCAUCUCCUCCCAAUACCGUAUAAGGCUAUUUUACGUACCUUGUAAAUCUAUUG